rnacentral:rRNA from 1 species
AGUCGAGCGGAUGAGAGGAGCUUGCUCCUCGAUUUAGCGGCGGACGGGUGAGUAAUGCCUAGGAAUCUGCCUAGUAGUGGGGGACAACGUUUCGAAAGGAACGCUAAUACCGCAUACGUCCUACGGGAGAAAGUGGGGGAUCUUCGGACCUCACGCUAUUAGAUGAGCCUAGGUCGGAUUAGCUAGUUGGUAGGGCAAAGGCCUACCAAGGCGACGAUCCGUAACUGGUCUGAGAGGAUGAUCAGUCACACUGGAACUGAGACACGGUCCAGACUCCUACGGGAGGCAGCAGUGGGGAAUAUUGGACAAUGGGCGAAAGCCUGAUCCAGCCAUGCCGCGUGUGUGAAGAAGGCCCUCGGGUCGUAAAGCACUUUAAGUUGGGAGGAAGGGCUUACAGCGAAUACCUGUGAGUUUUGACGUUACCGACAGAAUAAGCACCGGCUAACUUCGUGCCAGCAGCCGCGGUAAUACGAAGGGUGCAAGCGUUAAUCGGAAUUACUGGGCGUAAAGCGCGCGUAGGUGGCUUGAUAAGUUGGAUGUGAAAUCCCCGGGCUCAACCUGGGAACUGCAUCCAAAACUGUCUGGCUAGAGUGUGGUAGAGGGUAGUGGAAUUUCCAGUGUAGCGGUGAAAUGCGUAGAUAUUGGAAGGAACACCAGUGGCGAAGGCGACUACCUGGACUAACACUGACACUGAGGUGCGAAAGCGUGGGGAGCAAACAGGAUUAGAUACCCUGGUAGUCCACGCCGUAAACGAUGUCAACUAGCCGUUGGGAUCCUUGAGAUCUUAGUGGCGCAGCUAACGCAUUAAGUUGACCGCCUGGGGAGUACGGCCGCAAGGUUAAAACUCAAAUGAAUUGAC